rnacentral:rRNA from 1 species
GACGAACGCUGGCGGCGUGCUUAACACAUGCAAGUCGAACGGAAAGGCCCUGCUUUUGUGGGGUGCUCGAGUGGCGAACGGGUGAGUAACACGUGAGUAACCUGCCCUUGACUUUGGGAUAACUUCAGGAAACUGGGGCUAAUACCGGAUAGGAGCUCCUGCUGCAUGGUGGGGGUUGGAAAGUUUCGGCGGUUGGGGAUGGACUCGCGGCUUAUCAGCUUGUUGGUGGGGUAGUGGCUUACCAAGGCUUUGACGGGUAGCCGGCCGGAAAGGGUGACCGGCCACAUUGGGAUUGAGAUACGGCCCAGACUCCUACGGGAGGCAGCAGUGGGGAAUAUUGCACGAUGGGCGGAAGCCUGAUGCAGCAACGCCGCGUGCGGGAUGACGGCCUUCGGGUUGUAAACCGCUUUCUCCUGUGACGAAGCGUGAGUGACGGUAAUGGGUAAAGAAGCACCGGCUAACUACGUG